AUAAUAAUUAGGUUUUUAAUUGAAAUCUAGAAUGAAUGAUUGGACGAGAUACAGGCUGUUUUAUAGUAAUUAAUUAAAACUUAAUUUUUUAGUCAAAAAGCUAAAAUUUUAUUAAAAGACGAGAAGACCCUAUAAAUCUUUAUAAUAAAUUUAUUUUAAUAAAUUAUUUUAUUUAAAUUAAUUGUUUUAAUAAUAAAUUAUUUUAUUGGGGUGAUACAAAAAUUUAAUUAACUUUUUUAUUAAAAUUUCUUAAAUUAAAGAUUUAUAUAAAUAUGAUCUACUAUUAGUAAUUCAGAGAAUAAGAUACUUUAGGGAUAACAGCGUAAUUUUAAUUUUAAGUUCUUAUUAAAAUUAAAGAUUGC
rnacentral:rRNA from 1 species